AGCGAACGCUGGCGGCAGGCCUAACACAUGCAAGUCGAACGAACCCUUCGGGGUUAGUGGCGGACGGGGGUGUAACACGUGGGAACGUGCCUUUAGGUUCGGAAUAACUCAGGGAAACUUGUGCUAAUACCGAAUGUGCCCCUCGGGGGCAAGAUUCGUCGUCUUUAGAACGGCACGCGUCUGAUUAGCUAGUUGGUUGAGGUAAUGGCGCACUAAGGCGACGAUCUGUAGCUGGUCUGAGAGAAAGAUCAGCCACAUUGGGACGAAGACACGGCCCAGACUCCUACGGGAGGCAGCAGUGGGGAAUCUAGCGCAAUGGGGGAAAGCAUGACGCAGUCAGGCUGCGUGAAUGAUGAAGGUCUUAGGAUUGUAAAAUUCUUUAACCGGGGACGGUAAUGACGGUACCCGGAGAAGAAGCCCCGGCUAACUUCGUG
rnacentral:rRNA from 1 species